rnacentral:rRNA from 1 species
UACGUAGGGUGCAAGCGUUGUCCGGAAUUAUUGGGCGUAAAGAGCUCGUAGGCGGUUUGUCGCGUCUGCUGUGAAAACACGAGGCUCAACCUCGCGCCUGCAGUGGGUACGGGCAGACUAGAGUGCGGUAGGGGAGAUUGGAAUUCCUGGUGUAGCGGUGAAAUGCGCAGAUAUCAGGAGGAACACCGGUGGCGAAGGCGGGUCUCUGGGCCGUAACUGACGCUGAGGAGCGAAAGCGUGGGGAGCGAACAGG